UGUGUAAAGCUACCAGCAGGUGAGAGUGAUUCCUGGUGCCGAGGCAGUGCUGGUGUAAGCAGAGAGAAGGGAAGGAUGAACGCAGCACCACCAGGAUGUACAUUUGUGCUCUCUCUCCUGCCAGUGGCUUGGCAAGAGGCUGUGCAAUGACCUGCACAUGAUGAAACAGACCUCCUGAGCUCCCCACCUCGCUGUGAACUCGGCAGCUCCUUCCAGACUGUGUUCACUGACCAGGAAAGUGGCGUCUGGCUGAGGGGUGAAGCUGCCAGGUGCUGCAGGAGGCAAGGUGCUGGCUGUCCCUAAAGCACGGCAACCUCCUGGCACCUCUGACCACUGGGCAUCCUGGGCACAGGCUGAAGAGGACACUGCACUCCAGAAGGAGCAUUUCCCUUCCCCCUUGCCAUCAGGCUUUAUUAAUUCCUGGCUUGGUGAAGUCUCUAUUAAUAAUGGCUCCAGGAUCUGGCUGGUGUUUGGAGAGGGGAUGCUCCCUCCUGCAGGCGAGCAGCAAAGUCUGGUUAUUUACUGGUGUUGGAGGAGAUUUAUCAACCCUCAGGAAUGCCAAGUGCAGCUCCAAUUGCUCCUCGAUUUGCUGGUUCUCAUUUUCUCCUCUUGGGGUUGGAAAUUCAGAAGAGCCUGGCUGCCAGACAGCUUUGGCAUGGGAAGGUGUGGGAACAGGCUGUGCCUGCAGGCUGCUCUCCCCUUGUCUGGGAGUAAAUCUAAGAGGGAAAGACCCCAAACCUUUGUGCCGUGAGGAGCUGCCUGGGUUUG